rnacentral:rRNA from 1 species
GAUGAACGCUGGCGGCGUGCCUAAUACAUGCAAGUCGAGCGAACAGACGAGGAGCUUGCUCCUCUGACGUUAGCGGCGGACGGGUGAGUAACACGUGGAUAACCUACCUAUAAGACUGGGAUGACUUCGGGAAACCGGAGCUAAUACCGGAUAAUAUAUUGAACCGCAUGGUUCAAUAGUGAAAGACGGUUUUGCUGUCACUUAUAGAUGGAUCCGCGCCGCAUUAGCUAGUUGGUAAGGUAACGGCUUACCAAGGCAACGAUGCGUAGCCGACCUGAGAGGGUGAUCGGCCACACUGGAACUGGGACACGGUCCAGACUCCUACGGGAGGCAGCAGUAGGGAAUCUUCCGCAAAGGGCGAAAGCCUGACGGAGCAACGCCGCGUGAGUGAUGAAGGUCUUCGGAUCGUAAAACUCUGUUAUUAGGGAAGAACAAAUGUGUAAGUAACUAUGCACGUCUUGACGGUACCUAAUCAGAAAGCCACGGCUAACUACGUG